CCCAGGUAACCUCUUGUCCUAUUGCUCAAAUUAAGAUCUCAGCAAUAGGACAAGAAGGCUUUCAAAUUUGAAACCCCUGUUUUAAAUAUGUAUAACACCAUCUCACUUCUAUCAGCAUUUAUGCAUCAGUAUAGGCUGACACCCAUCAUACAAUCUAGAACUUGAGCUGUAAAUGUUUCUAUUAUGUUUAAGAAAUGGUGACAAUGGUACAAAUGAACCUAUCUACACAACAGAAACAGACUCACAGACAUGGAGAACAGACUUGUGGUUGCCAAGGGAGAGGGAAUGGGAAGGACUGAGAGUUUGGGGUUUGUAGAAGUAAACUAUCACAUUUAGGAUGGAUAAGCAAUGAGGUUCUACUAUAUAGCACAGGGACCUAUUUUCAGUCUCUUGGGAUAGACUAUGGUAGAAGAUGAUAUAAGAAAGGGAAUGUAUAUAUGUAUGUGUGUGUGUGUGUGACUGGGUCACUUUGCUGUACAGCAGAAACUGGCACAACAUCAUAAAUCAACUAUACUUUAAUUUUCAAUAAAAGUUUAAAAAAGAUAUGGAGGCAAAGCUACAUUCAGAGGUAGCUAAUUAAGAUUAAUUAAAUAUUUCACUGGAUUAACAUGUCUAAUUUAGAUUUGAUUCAUCUCUAAUUUUAUUUCCAGUGAGCAUAUUUUGGUGAGUAGUUUCUAUCUUCUCAACUUCACAGGAGAUAAAUGCUCCUCUCUUCCCCUGGGGCUUUUUUCCUCCCCUUAAGGGCUAUGAUGCUGAAUCAUUUGUGCAUAUUCUUCUUCCUGAUGCUCAGUGCUAUUAAGUAAAGCUCAUCUGAGAGCUGAGGAUGGAAUGCGGGGCUCUGGAGUAGCUUCUGGCUUCGGUCCACCUCCCUGAAGUAUUCAUGUGGAGCCAUGGAGGAUAUAAUGAUGGAACUUCCCCUGGCACUUGUUACUCAAAGCAGGAUCUGUGGGCUGGGAAACCAGCCUAAUCUGGAAGCUAAUUGGCAAUGCAGACUCUCAGACCUCACCCCAGACCUCAAUAUGCACUUGAACAAAAUCCCCAGGUAAUUCAUCUGUACAUCAAAGUUUUAGAAGUAAAGACCUCUGCCUAGUCCUCACCAAUCCCUGUGCUGGUGGGUAGGUGGGUGUGUGUGGGUGUGUGUGUGUGUGUGUGUGUGUGUGUGUGAGAGAGAGAGAGAGAGAGAGAGAGAAGGAGGAGGAGGAGGAAGUUAGGGGAAGAGGAGGGGGAGGAGGUGGAUGGAGGGGGCGGAAAUGAAAGGACAGUCACUAAAUUUCCUGGAUAAAGCCACACCCC
rnacentral:lncRNA from 1 species